GAGUAAUGUCUGGGAAACUGCCUGAUGGAGGGGGAUAACUGCUGGAAACGGUAGCUAAUACCGCAUAACGUCGCAAGACCAAAGAGGGGGACCUUCGGGCCUCUUGCCAUCGGAUGUGCCCAGAUGGGAUUAGCUAGUAGGUGGGGUAACGGCUCACCUAGGCGACGAUCCCUAGCUGGUCUGAGAGGAUGCCAGCCACACUGGAACUGAGACACGGUCCAG
rnacentral:rRNA from 1 species